rnacentral:rRNA from 1 species
AUUGAACGCUGGCGGCAUGCCUUACACAUGCAAGUCGAACGGCAGCGCGGGGCAACCUGGCGGCGAGUGGCGAACGGGUGAGUAAUAUAUCGGAACAUACCCUAGAGUGGGGGAUAACGUAGCGAAAGUUACGCUAAUACCGCAUACGCACUAAGGUGGAAAGUGGGGGAUUCGCAAGAACCUCAUGCUCAUGGAGUGGCCGAUAUCUGAUUAGCUAGUUGGUGAGGUAAAGGCUCACCAAGGCGACGAUCAGUAGCUGGUUUGAGAGAACGACCAGCCACACUGGAACUGAGACACGGUCCAGACUCCUACGGAGGCAGCAGUGGGAAUUUUGGAC